rnacentral:rRNA from 1 species
GACGAACGCUGGCGGCGUGCUUAACACAUGCAAGUCGAACGGAAAGGCCCUGCUUUUGUGGGGUGCUCGAGUGGCGAACGGGUGAGUAACACGUGAGUAACCUGCCCUUUACUUUGGGAUAACUUCAGGAAACUGGGGCUAAUACCGGAUAGGAGCUCCUGCUGCAUGGUGGGGGUUGGAAAGUUUCGGCGGUUGGGGAUGGACUCGCGGCUUAUCAGCUUGUUGGUGGGGUAGUGGCUUACCAAGGCUUUGACGGGUAGCCGGCCUGAGAGGGUGACCGGCCACAUUGGGACUGAGAUACGGCGCAGACGCCUACGGGAGGCAGCAGUGGGGAAUAUUGCAGAAUGGGCGGAAGCCUGAUGCAGCAACGCCGCGUGCGGGAUGACGGCCUUCGGGUUGUAAACCGCUUUCGCCUGUGACGAAGCGUGAGUGACGGUAAUGGGUAAAGAAGCACCGGCUAACUACGUG